rnacentral:rRNA from 1 species
AUACGGAGGGUGCAAGCGUUAUCCGGAAUCGUUGGGUUUAAAGGGUCCGUAGGCGGGCUAAUAAGUCAGGGGUGAAAUCCCACAGCUUAACUGUGGAACUGCCCUUGAUACUGUUGGUCUUGAGUUACAGUGAAGUGGUUAGAAUGUGUAGUGUAGCGGUGAAAUGCAUAGAGAUUACACAGAAUACCGAUUGCGAAGGCAGAUCACUACCUGUAUACUGACGCUAAUGGACGAAAGCGUGGGGAGCGAACAGGAUUAGAAACCCCAGUAGUCC